rnacentral:rRNA from 1 species
CGAACGCUGGCGGCGUGCCUAAUACAUGCAAGUCGAACGCUUCUUUUUCCACCGGAGCUUGCUCCACCGGAAAAAGAGGAGUGGCGAACGGGUGAGUAACACGUGGGUAACCUGCCCAUCAGAAGGGGAUAACACUUGGAAACAGGUGCUAAUACCGUAUAACAAUCAAAACCGCAUGGUUUUGAUUUGAAAGGCGCUUUCGGGUGUCGCUGAUGGAUGGACCCGCGGUGCAUUAGCUAGUUGGUGAGGUAACGGCUCACCAAGGCCACGAUGCAUAGCCGACCUGAGAGGGUGAUCGGCCACAUUGGGACUGAGACACGGCCCAAACUCCUACGGGAGGCAGCAGUAGGGAAUCUUCGGCAAUGGACGAAAGUCUGACCGAGCAACGCCGCGUGAGUGAAGAAGGUUUUCGGAUCGUAAAACUCUGUUGUUAGAGAAGAACAAGGAUGAGAGUAACUGUUCAUCCCUUGACGGUAUCUAACCAGAAAGCCACGGCUAACUACGUGCCAGCAGCCGCGGUAAUACGUAGGUGGCAAGCGUUGUCCGGAUUUAUUGGGCGUAAAGCGAGCGCAGGCGGUUUCUUAAGUCUGAUGUGAAAGCCCCCGGCUCAACCGGGGAGGGUCAUUGGAAACUGGGAGACUUGAGUGCAGAAGAGGAGAGUGGAAUUCCAUGUGUAGCGGUGAAAUGCGUAGAUAUAUGGAGGAACACCAGUGGCGAAGGCGGCUCUCUGGUCUGUAACUGACGCUGAGGCUCGAAAGCGUGGGGAGCAAACAGGAUUAGAUACCCUGGUAGUCCACGCCGUAAACGAUGAGUGCUAAGUGUUGGAGGGUUUCCGCCCUUCAGUGCUGCAGCUAACGCAUUAAGCACUCCGCCUGGGGAGUACGACCGCAAGGUUGAAACUCAAAGGAAUUGACGGGGGCCCGCACAAGCGGUGGAGCAUGUGGUUUAAUUCGAAGCAACGCGAAGAACCUUACCAGGUCUUGACAUCCUUUGACCACUCUAGAGAUAGAGCUUCCCCUUCGGGGGCAAAGUGACAGGUGGUGCAUGGUUGUCGUCAGCUCGUGUCGUGAGAUGUUGGGUUAAGUCCCGCAACGAGCGCAACCCUUAUUGUUAGUUGCCAUCAUUCAGUUGGGCACUCUAGCAAGACUGCCGGUGACAAACCGGAGGAAGGUGGGGAUGACGUCAAAUCAUCAUGCCCCUUAUGACCUGGGCUACACACGUGCUACAAUGGGAAGUACAACGAGU